AGGUAUAUGUCUUCUAAAGCUAAAUACCGGCCAGAGACCGAUACCGAACAAGUAGAGUGAUCGAAAGAUGAAAAGCACUUUGAAAAGAGAGUUAAAAAGUACGUGAAAUUGUUGAAAGGGAAGCGUUUAUGACCAGACUUGGGCUUGGUUAAUCAUCUGGGGUUCUCCCCAGUGCACUUUUCCAGUCCAGGCCAGCAUCAGUUUUCCCCGGGGGAUAAAGGCAUCGGGAAUGUGGCUCUCUUCGGGGAGUGUUAUAGCCCGUUGUGUAAUACCCUGGGGGGGACUGAGGUUCGCGCAUCUGCAAGGAUGCUGGCGUAAUGGUCAU
rnacentral:rRNA from 1 species